rnacentral:rRNA from 1 species
GACGAACGCUGGCGGCGUGCUUAACACAUGCAAGUCGAACGUUUGGCGAACGGGUGAGUAACACGUGGGUGAAACGUCCUGCACUGCGGGAUAAGCCUGGGAAACAGGGUUUAAUACCCCAUAGUGCAAGAUGAGAACGCGGCCUAUCAGCUUGUUGGUGUGGUAAUGGCUACCAAGGCGCGACGGGUGGCCGGCCUGGGAGGGUGAACGGCCACAUUGGGACUGAGAUACGGCCCAGACUCCUACGGGAGGCAUCAGUGCAAGAUUGUGCACAAUAGGCGGAAGCCGGAUGCAGGGACGCCGGGUUGGGGAUGUAGGCCUUCGGGUUGUAAACUCCUUUCGACAGGGACGCGGUACCUGUAUAAGAGGCACCGGCUAACUACGUGCCAGCAGCCGCGGUAAUAC